rnacentral:rRNA from 1 species
GCCCUUCUCCUACGGGAGGCAGCAGUGGGGAAUAUUGGGCAAUGGAGGAAACUCUGACCCAGCGACGCCGCGUGCGGGAUGAAGGCCUUCGGGUUGUAAACCGCUUUCAGUAGGGAAGAAGCGAAAGUGAUAAGUAUUGCACCUGGGGAGUACGAUCACAAGGUUGAAACUCAAAGGAAUUGACGGAAGGGC